UUGACAUUAAAGUACCGCGAGAGCGAUUGCUUUCGCGGUACUUUGAUGUCAUAAGCCGAGCGGUCUGCGCAGCGCCGCAUAAAGUCAAACACGCCUGUACAGUAUCGGUUGACUGAGGUUCCUUUUCUUACCACGUGCCUCCUGACGUCGCCAAAACAAAAACAACAGUGACCCACGCGUCACAAAACACUGUUUCGACCCAACGGAUAGUAAUAUACAAGGACAUGGCAUGGAGGAGUUUUUGUUAUAAAUGAACCAAAACAGACUCGAUGAAUACAUUAUUCCUGUUUUCAAAUAACACCAGAUAUCACAUACACCAUCCAUCCUCAGCAAAGAUGUGGCUUCUGGAAUGCUCAGCAACAAUCCGAAACAAAAAGGGGUGUUCCUAAGGAGGCAGAUGCAGGUUGGGCAGGAGGACAUAAGAAUGCACGUGCCACCCCAACCAGAUGCACCUUUGCCACUCAGGAAACCAGCUCGACUCUUCAGACCCCUGGUUUUCACUGUGGUGGUAGUUCUACCCUGUUACAGAGAUGAGAAGACAAGAUAACUUUUUCUCUAACACCUUUUUAGUUUACAGGCUGCUCGUUUGGUGCAGCUGCCAUCUUGCAGUAUGAAUCAAAGUCACGAGUUCAGAUGGCCAUGGAGGAGGCCAAUAAGAAAAAACUAAAACUUGAAGGGGUUCAUGACAUAACAUGCUGGCACAAAUGGUGGAAUCAGCUGUCAAACUUCCAGAAGCAGGUGAUUAUGUUGAUGUCUGGCAUUGAUGAGUUGUGGAGUGGGCUAAGUGAAGGACAGAAGACAGUCACAGGUAUCAUAGCUCUAAACGCUUUGUUAUUGUGUUGUUGGAGAAUACGAUCAAUGAAGCACUUUAUGGUCAAGUACUUCACCUGUAACCCUGCCUCCAAGACAAGGUGUUUUCCUAUGGUCCUGUCUGCUUUCAGCCACUACUCUGUCAUUCACGUGAUGGUUAACAUGUAUGUGCCAUUGUCUUUUUUCACUACCAUUGUCUCCCUGCUUGGGAAGGAGCCGUUUCUGGCCCUUUAUCUGUCUGGAGGUACUAUUAAUUGUUAAUAGAUUUUAAAAAUGUUAUCAUAAUUGUGUAACUGUAUAUAUCUAUUGAUCACUGUCCUAUCAUCUGUCCAAUGUCUGUUGUGUCACUCCAUGAUCUUUUUACAUAAAAAGGUCCCAUUUUUUCUGCGUUUUCAAAAUUUUGAUUGUGUUUACAGUGCCUAAUAUAACAUGUUCAUGUUUUGUGUGUAAAAAAAACGCAGUAUUUAACCCUUCGCUAAACCCCGCCCUCUUUAGUUACUGUUGCUACGGCUGUCAAGCUUUCGCUCCUGACAAGUCUACUAACUACAGUAUGCACCAGUGUCAGACAUUCCCAAGGAGAUAAUUAGUCAUUUUUGGGGAACAAUUCGAUUAGAAAAUAAUUUAAUCAAAAUUAAAGCUAAAGCCACCUCAUACACUAACCAUAUAAAUGUGAAACACACAAAUUGAGGAACCGCUUUGUUCAUGCUUAGCAGGGUAAAUCAAAUUUGUGAAAAUAAUCUAAUAAUUAUAAAUCAAACAUCUUAUGCAUAGAUCGUGUGGAAUAAACAUUAGACAUUAGCCUAACCACUUUGCAAUGAUAACAUUCUCCUGCUUACAGUAUAGAACUACUCGGGAGAGCCGCAAUGGGAUUGGGGUACUUAGGGUAGGCCGUCUAUUACCAAAAUGCUAAAAUAUUUUUUAAAGUAUGUCAGUCAGCCUCCGUUUUGCCUUUAAUCAUCUUAUUUUACAUUGAAAUAUAUGUAUUAUAAACAAAAAUUUGUCAUUAUUUCCAAGCAAUGAUGUGCUGGGUUAGCUAGUUAGCUAAGAUUAACGUAUGUGUUUUUGUUAAUCCUGUUGACAUUGAGUUGUGAAUGAGGCCUUCCACACUGCUUGAUCCAUGUCCAACAUUUCUCCCCAUUGGUUUUAGGUUUCGGGAAGGUAAACAAUUCCACAACCCCGUUCAAACUUUCAGGAUACCAGGUAUCAGAUUUAAACAAUCCAUACGCACAACGCUUCGGCAUGUUUCCCUCGCUCGAAAGCUUGAUAGACCUCCCGUGCCUAUUUACGGUUUCUGAACCGUGAUUGGCCUGUGGCGUUUGGCAUUGAACUUUGAGCUUUGUAAUAUAAAAUAAAAAUAAUAAAUAAAUAAUAUAAAAACGGCGCUUUUACAUAGUUGUGUUGCAAAUAGGAGUGUACAGUCAGUGUAAUUAUCGCAAAAAUGACUUUGUAAAACAAGACUCCUUCACUCUGCAUUUUGGGCCCUUUUCUCUCCUUGUGUUGAGACUUGACUUGGGGCACCACUGGAAAAGUUAUAAAAUGGAGGUAAACAGUGCCCCAGAUGUGUUUGCUUAUUAGCAUUUUUCAAAAUAUCUUCAUUUGUGUUCAGCAGAACAAAGAAAUGUAUAUAAGUUUUGAACAACUUGAGGGUGAAAAAAUGAUGACAAAAUUUGUAAUUUUUGGAUGAACUAUCCCUUUUAAGUUUUAAAUCAAGCUUAAAGGCCAUGCAUAUGAGGGCAAGCAAAAGUGUAGUCCAUUUUAUACUAAUUGACAAUUUUUCCUAUUGACAAAAAUCUAUUUUCAAAUCAAUUUCCUCAGUUAUUGACUUAAAGCUCAGAUGCAGGUUUUAAACAGUAUUAUGAAGAUGUCAUAACAGUGAAUAUUAAAGACAAUGUUCUUAAGCACAAGUGUAAUUUAAUUUACAGUUAAAGCUGAGAUGUGAGUAUUGAUCUUUAUCCUGCAGUCAGGUGCCGUCAUGACUGUAUUGGCUGCUGUCUGCACAAAAAUACCAGAAGCUAAGCUGGGGAUCAUCUUACUUCCUGUGGUCAGCUUAAGUGCUGGAAAUUUAAGUGUGGGUAGGCGUAUUCGUGUGUAUCUUGUUCUGUAUAUUUGGCUAUAAUCAUAAUGCUUUUUGAUGUACUUUAGGCUUUGAAAGCCCUUGUUGCCUUGGAUACAGCUGGUCUUCUUUUUGGCUGGAGGUUGUUUGACCAUGUGGCCCAUCUCGGGGGGGCUAUAUUUGGAGUGUGGUACAUCCUGUAUGGUAAUGAUAUGAUCUGGAGGAGGCGUGAGCCACUGGUGAAGUUUUGGCAUGAGUUGAGGAAUGGGUCACCUGGGAGAUCCCGACAGGGUUGAGGUGGGGGUCAAGUUUAGGAUUGUUUAUUUCUUCUAGAUCAAACCCUCUCAGAUUGGAAAAGUAAAUGGGAACAUCAUUCAGUAUACUCUGUGAUGACUGACAUAGAUUCAAUAGAUGAUCAAAACUGUGGUGCAUUGCUUACAUAUAACACUCAGAAUUUGAUUUCUGAAGCUGCUGUAUGGUUUUUACAGACUGGGUCACAUAUAUAAAAAAUGUUUUGUCAUAAUUGGUCUGCUUUUUCUCAUAUUUAGCCAUUUGUAUCCAUUUAUAAUUGAACUAUUGUUAGAAAAGGGCUGGAUGAAUGAAUACAGUGUGGAUACCUGUCUAUUAUAGACAGAUAUAUAAACAAUAUCCACUUCAAAUAUAUAGACAAAAUAGUAUUGAAAUAUUUGCCUGCAAACUUAAUUUCAUAAAUUAGCAAGUGUUACAACUAACCCCCUGUCUGUUACAAUUAACCCCGCCUAUGGGGUAAGUUGUAACAUUUGCACUUCGGUCACGUUUGGUGUAAUUGUCCAAGAAUGGUAAGUACUAGAAACAAACUGCAAAUGUUCAUUUGUCGAAGAGAUGUGUGUGUUGCUUGUGUAAAAAUAUAAUUAAUCACUCUCAAAUAUUUUUUUAAUGAUUUAGCCAAAACCAAAAAGCGUUAGGUUGUGCCCCGCUGUCCCCUAUUCUAUAUGUAUCCUAAUAAAGAGAGUGAAAAAUACAUAUGAAUUGUCAUUAUAACUUUUCUAAAACAACAA